rnacentral:rRNA from 1 species
UACAGAGGGUGCGAGCGUUAAUCGGAAUUACUGGGCGUAAAGCGCACGUAGGCGGCUUGGUAUGUCGGGUGUGAAAUCCCCGGGCUCAACCUGGGAACUGCAUCCGAAACUGCCCUGCUCGAGUAUGGGAGAGGGAAGUGGAAUUUCCGGUGUAGCGGUGAAAUGCGUAGAUAUCGGAAGGAACAUCAGUGGCGAAGGCGACUUCCUGGACCAAUCUGACGCUCAGGUGCGAAAGCGUGGGGAGCAAACAGGG